UACUUCGUUGAAAAUGCAAAACAUACUUCUUGAAUAUGAACAGAGAAUAGAACGUCAGAAAAAUCAGUAUAAAACGCUCUCAAGAGAAGUAAGGAAAUUGGAAGAUGAAAGGGAGGAGUCACAGUUCAGAGCAGAGAAGACUCAAGAUUUGAAAUCCGUGUUGGCUCACCAAGAAGCAGAAUGGAAAAGGGAUAUCCAAAGCCUUAAGUUGAAGAGGAACGUGAUGAAACACAGAGACAGCUCUCUCAGGAAAAGAGUGCCAGAGCCCUUCAAGAAGGAAUUUUGAACAACCACCUUGGGAGACAAAUGGAACUAGAAGAAGAGACAAGAAGAUCUAUAGGAAAAAAAUCAGAGGAAUCCAGCACUGAUAGAGAACAGGAUCUGUUGUACAAGAAUCAGUUACUACAAGAUGAGAUUGCUAUGCUAAGGCUAGAACUCACUCAGGUAAGACUUAGGCACCAGGAGGAACAAGGAAAAUAUUUAAAGGAAAAUGAGACCUUGAAAGAAAAAAAUGAAGCUCUCAAAAAGGAACUUAAACUGAACAAGGAAGCAUUAAGACAAAUGUUUUUUCAGUUCAACGCGGAGCUGGACUUACUGAAGACAGAAUCUGCAGUGCUGACUUCCAAACUUGAGCAGACAAACAAAAGCAAAGACAGACUAGAGACAGAAAUUGAAUCAUUUUGUUCCUCCCUGAAUGCUGCAGUUCAAGAACUUGAACUUCAUUUGUCAUCUAAAAGCAAUGCUGAACGAAGAUUUCCCAGAGAACGUGAUGAAUGCCUUUGCUUGCAAGUCGAGCUCCAUCAUGACCUCUCUGACGUGCAAGAAACCAACAAGAGCUUGUCUCUGCAGCUGUGUAAAGCUAAAAGCAAAGCUAAUAGGCUAGAAAAUGAGCUUCACCAGUUGAAGCAAAUGCUCAGAGAAAAAGCUUUGCUUUUAGAAAUGACAAAAAAGAAUUAAGUCAAGGCCAGUGUCGGGCAAAGGAAUGUGAUCAUGCUCGACAACUUGAGAAAGAUCCAGUAAGCAAACUUGUAAUAAAACAGGAGUCCUUGCAGGAGCGAUUGGCCCAGCUCCAGAGUGAAAACUUUUUUACUCCAUCAGCAAUGGGAAGAGAUGCAGAACAAGAGGAUCAUGAAAGAAAAAAUAGUGGAUUAUGUGCAGGACUGGUUUAAUGACAUUUUCAACAAACUUAGAGCUGAUACAGAAAAGCAAGUUUAUCUAAUAGGAGAGCGAAACAAGGAUUUCAAUGCCAAGUGUACUGAUUUAAGGGAACAAGUCUUUAAAUAUGAGACUGACGUAGUAGAAAGACAGGGCAUGUUUGGACAACUGCAGCAGGAGCUUGCUGAUGCACCUAAAAAGCAAUCUAUGCCAGAAGCUUCACUUGAAGUUACUACACGCUACCACAGUGACCUGGAGGAAGACAAGCUGCGCUUGCAAAAGGAGUUGGAAAAAAAAGUUGAAAACUAAGACGCAGAAGCAGAACAUGCUGGCUCUGACAUCCAAGGACUUGCACAGCACGCGGGAGGAGCACUUGAAGUCAAGAUCCCACCUUGAAGAGCGCGUUGCUCAGCUGGACGAGGAGAAGGAUGAACUGU